AUGUUACCGACGCAGCUGUGUUUCGAGCACCGGACCCUGCAGAUGUUGGAGGUGUUCGCAUUGAAGAUCUACAUCCUCGAGCAAUCCACCGUGCGCGCGUCUCCACAUCGCCUUCGAUGCGCUCGCUGUGCCACCCCCGCCGCUGUCGACCUCGUGCUAUCUGCGUCGCCUGGUUGGAUGGGUUGGCGCCCUCGCCCUCACCUGGUCGCAAGGGUUGGCGCCGCCGGCGCCUGUGGCCUGCUCCGCCAGAAGCAUCCCCUGCAUCGUCGGCUCCUCAUGCGCGAUGCGGUGCCGAAUCGAGGCAGAGCUACGCGCGCUCGAUGCGGGGGCAACGAGACCCGACCUCACCCGCCAACCUCGGCGACGCCGGCAGCCCGUCUUCAGAUCCGGCGAUGA
rnacentral:rRNA from 1 species